GUAAGUUCACAUGACACAACAGUUUAGUUACUUGGAAUGUCUCGCAAGGUCUUGCAAGUUGAACUACUUCUUUAAAGUACGGUUUUUCAGUGGGCAGAAUUGACAACUGAAGAAGGCUUUCAAAGAACUGUUACUCUAUUUAUCCAACUUGAAAGACAUGAAGAGUACUUCAAAGGUUUUCCCUCCCUAGCCUUACUCAACAUUCAGUGCAAACAAAUGUAAAGGAAAGGACAGCUUCCUACUCUGCUCUCAAGACUCAUUUUGCUCAAUGAAAGAAAAGUCACAGCUGUUACCCUGCAGCUGCUGCCAGAUGCCGUCUGCCAAGUAAAGCAGCAUCAUGACGUUAAACUAAGAUCUGAUCAUCUGAGACCUGCUGCAGGAAUGAAUGGUACAUUUUGUCUUUCCAGAGCACUGAUGGAUCUACUCGCAUCCUUUUCAGUGAAGUGGAAAUAGUGAUUGCAAACAUCUGGGCAUGUAGAGCAUCUCUUUCCUAAGCAUUUGGUCAGCAUCAAUAUAACUGAAAGCUCUUUCAGCCUUUGUAAUUGUUAGAAUCACUCUCCAAUUUUAUUUAAAUUUAUGUGUAAACAGUAGGAAAAUAUUUCGCUAAUGGUUACAUGACUUGAAAUUGAUUUUCCAAAAACACACAAAGCUGAGAGAGUGGAAAGUAUCACUAAACAUCUAUAGAAAUUCUUUAAAAAAAUCAUUGCCUAUUCUUUUUUCCAGAUUCUUGAGAAAGUAUAAGAGAGACACCUACUGGAGAGAACAAGAUGUAUCUCGUUAUCAGAUGAAUUUUCAGUUUCAGGGAAAUAAAACAACUAUGUGUCUACUGCCCUAAGAUUUUAUACCAUAUACUUUAGAGAUGAACAUGUUACCAUAGUUAUGAAGAUUUAUUUAUGGAAAUAUGUGAACAUCACAUAAUCAAUUGUCAUGGGAAGGCUAAGUUUGAUUCAAAAGAUAAAUCAGAAACCACUUAGGUAAAUCAAACAAGUAUUGCUUAUCUAAAUGAUACAGAAGAGAGGCCAGCUAGGAUAUACAGCUCCAAUUGAACAGUUCCCAGAAGAGAAUAAGGUAUAAGUUUUAGGUCCCGCUCCGCGACUACUUGGAGUAGCUGUGGCUGAAUAGUUCUGAGAGAUUAAAUGUCACAUAAACCUGGAAGCUCAGUUGCACCAAU
rnacentral:lncRNA from 1 species